ensembl:snRNA Rnu6-304 RNA, U6 small nuclear 304
GUGCUUGAUUCAGCAGGACAUAUACUAAAGUUGGUCCGAUACAGAGAACAGCAUGGCCCCUGCUCAUGAGUGAUAGGAUAGGCAAAUUCAUCCAUAUUUUU